UACGAAGGUGGCAAGCGUUACUCGGAAUUACUAGGCGUAAAGGGCAGGUAGGUGGUUUGGUAAGUCUGUUGUGAAAGCUCCUUGCUCAACGAGGAGAGGUCAACAGAUACUGCCAGGCUUGAGUAUGGGAGAGGGUACUGGAAUUCCCGGUGUAGCGGUGAAAUGCGCAGAGAUCGGGAGGAACACCAAUGGCGAAAGCAGGUACCUGGACCAUUACUGACACUCAGCUGCGAAAGCUAGGGGAGCAAACAGG
rnacentral:rRNA from 1 species